AGAGUUUGAUCCUGGCUCAGAACGAACGCUGGCGGCAGGCUUAACACAUGCAAGUCGAACGCCCUCGCAAGGGGGAGUGGCAGACGGGUGAGUAACGCGUGGGAACAUACCCUUCGGUACGGAACAACUUGGGGGAACUCGAGCUAAUACCGUAUACGGCCUAUGGGCGAAAGAUUGUAUCGCCGAAGGAUUGGCCCGCGUCCGAUUAGCUUGUUGGUGGGGUAAUGGCCUACCAAGGCGACGAUCGGUAGCUGGUCUGAGAGGAUGGCCAGCCACAUUGGGACUGAGACACGGCCCAAACUCCUACGGGAGGCAGCAGUGGGGAAUAUUGGACAAUGGGCGCAAGCCUGAUCCAGCCAUGCCGCGUGAGUGAUGAAGGCCUUAGGGUUGUAAAGCUCUUUCGCACGCGACGAUAAUGACGGUAGCGUGAGAAGAAGCCCCGGCUAACUUCGUGCCAGCAGCCGCGGUAAUACGAAGGGGGCUAGCGUUGUUCGGAUUUACUGGGCGUAAAGGGCGCGUAGGCGGAUUGAUAAGUCAGGGGUGAAAUGCCGAGGCACAACUUCGGAACUGCCUUUGAUACUGUUGAUCUCGAGUCCGGGAGAGGUGAGUGGAACUGCGAGUGUAGAGGUGAAAUUCGUAGAUAUUCGCAAGAACACCAGUGGCGAAGGCGGCUCACUGGCCCGGAACUGACGCUGAGGCGCGAAAGCGUGGGGAGCAAACAGGAUUAGAUACCCUGGUAGUCCACGCCUUAAACGAUGAAUGCCAGCCGUUAGGUAGUUUACUACUGAGUGGCGCAGCUAACGCUUUGAGCAUUCCGCCUGGGGAGUACGGUCGCAAGAUUAAAACUCAAACGAAUUGACGG
rnacentral:rRNA from 1 species